ACGGCCUUAUUCUUGGUUAUUUUAGCUCCAUGAAUAGCAUCUUAAUUUUUUUCAAAAGCCCGUGGCAACGCACGGGCGUUUUACUAGUUGUAUUAAUAAGAGAGAUCGAUUGAUUUGGGUAAAUUAGGAAAGUUUAGUCCGUGAUUUUUUGUACGUUAGAAAAAUGCUACUUUGCUAAAAAAAUGAAGAAAAAAAUAAAUCAACAUGAAGAGUGGUGGUGGGAGGGAAGACGAAAAAAACCAGCGAGAAUAACGAUUAAAAGUGAUAAGACGAAAAUAAAUCAUACUAUUCCGUCAAUUCAGACAUUAGGAGAAGAAGAGAUAAAUCGACCGCGUUGGCUCACCUGCCACGGUGAGAGAAAAACCGGACAAAGACAUCCGUUUUUUGGUGCUGGGUUGGAGCUGGGCGUUCGCCGCUGAGGACCCUGUCCGGAUGGACGGCUGAGCCACUCUCCUCUCCGUCCUCUCUUUCGGCUGCCGCACGAAAACAGGAAACCCCAAAAAAUACAAAUUAUAUUAAGAAAAAUAAAGCACAUCUCCAGCAACGACAUCUAUCGCCUCAUCUCGAGAACGCGAAAGCCUCCGGCCGUGGGCGCCGACCGACCAGGUGAAGGAUGAUGAUGAACUUCAGGGACUGGAUCUCAUACCGGCUCGGGUCGUCGCUGCUGUCGGCGAGGCCGUUCGCCAUCUCCGGGUCCGACGCCGGCGCCUCCCAGGGCGAUGGGGAAGGUACUCUAUAUAUAUAGCUGAGGGUUCUUGUCCGGUCGUAUCGAAUUGCUAGUGAUUUUUAGCCUUGUUUACAAUGAUUUAAUGGAAUUAAGCCUAUUUCUUGAUA